rnacentral:rRNA from 1 species
GUCUAUGGCCAUGCCACCCUGAACAAGCCCAAUGUAUGAUCUCGGAAGCUAGGCAGGUUGGGCCCGGUUAGUACUUGGAUGGGAGACCACCUAGGAAGACCAGGUGCUGUAGGCA